UACGUAGGGCGCAAGCGUUAUCCGGAAUUACUGGGCGUAAAGCGCACGUAGGUGGUUUGUUAAGCUAGCUGUGAAAUCCCCGGGCUCAACCUGGGCACUGCAGUUAGAACUGGCAAGCUAGAGUAGGGUAGAGGGGUGUGGAAUUCCAGGUGUAGCGGUGAAAUGCGUAGAUAUCUGGAGGAACAUCAGUGGCGAAGGCGACACCCUGGACUCAUACUGACACUGAGGUGCGAAAGCGUGGGGAGCAAACAGG
rnacentral:rRNA from 1 species